GCUUACACUCCUACGGGGAGGCAGCAGUAGGGAAUCUUCCACAAUGGGCGCAAGCCUGAUGGAGCAACACCGCGUGAGUGAAGAAGGGUUUCGGACUCGUAAAGCUCUGUUGUUUAAAGAAGAACACGUAUGAGAGUAACUGUUCAUACGUUGACGGUAUUUAACCAGAAAGUCACGGCUAACUACGUGCCAGCAGCCGCGGUAAUACGUAGGUGGCAAGCGUUAUCCGGAUUUAUUGGGCGUAAAGAGAGUGCAGGCGGUUUUCUAAGUCUGAUGUGAAAGCCUUCGGCUUAACCGGAGAAGUGCAUCGGAAACUGGAUAACUUGAGUGCAGAAGAGGGUAGUGGAACUCCAUGUGUAGCGGUGGAAUGCGUAGAUAUAUGGAAGAACACCAGUGGCGAAGGCGGCUACCUGGUCUGCAACUGACGCUGAGACUCGAAAGCAUGGGUAGCGAACAGGAUUAGAUACCCUGGUAG
rnacentral:rRNA from 1 species